rnacentral:rRNA from 1 species
UACAGAGGAUGCAAGCGUUAUCCGGAAUGAUUGGGCGUAAAGCGUCUGUAGGUGGCUUUUUAAGUCCGCCGUCAAAUCCCAGGGCUCAACUCUGGACAGGCGGUGGAAACUACCAAGCUGGAGUUACGGUAGGGGCAGAAGGGAAUUUCCGGUGGAGCGGUGAAAUGCGUGAGAGAUCGGGAAAAGAACACCAACGGCGAAAAGCAAUCUGCUGGGCCG